rnacentral:tRNA from 1 species
GGCAGUGUAGCAUAGUGGUAAGGAGCAGGGCUCCUAACCCAGAGGUUGCUGGUUCGAUUCCCCACCUGGGGCACUGCUG